CAUCCAGUCUGGUUCCUCCACCGAACGUGCACCACAGUGAUACAAAGUCAUUGAGCCGCCGUACAAAAACCUCUCACUGUAGAGAGACACGGCUCUCUGACUUUGACACAAACAAACUCACCAAACACAUUCACAGUUUACCCAGUUUAUGUUACAACUGGGUAAACUACUUUCAUAACAAUUAACAAACGAUACAUAUGUAUUUAACAAUUCAUGUUUAAACUGUUUGGCAUUCAUGAGCAAAAUUAACUUUUCUUUCAGUAAAACAAAUUCAUUAUAUAUCAAGAUAUUCCUAAAGAAAAACUGUCCAACAAAUCAUACAAAAAUUUAAAUAAUCAUCAUAAGUGCAUAUUUAUUGUACACUAUAAUAAAUAAUGAAUAACAAUUUGACAUACUCAAACAAAAGACUCGCCCAGCACAUUCCCAGUUAACCCAGUUUUGUUAUUACUGGUUAUAUUACUUUUAACCUGAUUCACAACGAUACCUAUAUAUUUAACGAUUUAUUUGUAAAAUGUUAGAAUUGUAUAAGUGAUAUAAACUUUUCUCUUGAUAAAACAAAUUGAUAUAAGAUAUUUUUAAAGAUGAACUCUUCAAUAAAUCCUGCCAAAUGUAAAUAAUUAUUAUAAAUGUAUGUUUAUUGUCCGAUAUAAUAAAUGAAAAUAAAUAAUUUUGUUAAAAUUCGUCCUACAGUGAUGAUAGUUGAUGUCCUAGUGAAUAACGGGGAAUUCAAAAAAUACUGUGGAAGACUUUAUUUCUAACAAACUCAAACCAAACACUAAAAAAGCACUGACACAUCCCUGAUCAAUACUCUGAUAAAGUGAUUGAUCCAUUGAUAAACAGCAUCAUCAGAGGGAUCCAUAAGUCCCUGUUGGAGUCAGUCAGAGCAUUUCCAUAGAGAGACACUUUGCAUCAGCAGCACCAUCCUCCAGUGCUCUGGGAGAGUUUAUAGUCCUGAGAGUUGGACACUGGAUGACUGACAGCUGUCCUUCAUCACAACAGAAGACUCAGAAAUCCUCCUCAUCAAAAACAUGACUUUGAUCUCCGUCCUCAUCUGGACUCUCCUCUGCUUCACUCAGGGGUCUGUUGGACAAAACGUUGUCGUGACUCAGCCAGCGGCCAAAUCAGUGCAGCCGGGUCAAACUGUUUCUAUUGACUGUAAAGCCAGUCCGACGGUUGUUCAGUAUUCUGGUUCACAAUACUACCUGGCCUGGUACCAGCAGAAAACGGGAGAAGCUCCUAAACUUCUGAUCUACCUAACAUCAGACAGACUUUCUGAAGUCUCGUCCAAAUUCAGUGGAAGUGGAGCAGGGAAUGGAGUUGACUUCACUCUGACCAUCAGUGGAGUUCAGGCUGUAGAUGCAGCAGUUUACUAUUGUCAGAGUUAUCACUCUAUCAACAGUCAGAAUGUGUUCACACAGUGAAAAAGCGUCGUACAAAAACCUCCCUCAGUCAGAGUGAACAGAAACUGAACUGACUGCUGCAGCUGGAAGCUACUGCAGAGACUGAUACACUUCACUGAGGACACAACCACACACG